UUUAAUAAAACAGACUCCAAAAAUUUACCAAAAAAAAAUUUUUUGUCGUGAGUGCAGAGUUUUCAAGUGUAGAAAUGAAAGGCACUAAAUUAGUACGGUAUGCAUGAAUGUUUUUAAACGUUGUUUGCAUUUUAUUCAGCAAUUUCUAAACAUAGCAGUUAUAAUUUAGCUCAACGAGAGAAUCUUACGGCGAUAACGCAAUCGGUUAUGUGCAAAUUAAAAGAGAUGGAGAUGGAUUAAUUAUGUACAGUGAAAAGUCGAGUUACUCCAGAGCACAAAGUACGAAAAGAAGGUUAUCGUGUUACAGCUGUAAUAAAUGAAGCACAAAGCUUAGUUCUGUCCUGCCAAUGCGAAGAUUGUGCAGCUUCUGCAGGUGGGUGCAAGCAUGCUGCUGCACUAUUGCUAUGGUGCACAGAAGGUCUGAGCAGCCUCUAAUUACGUCCGUCACAUGCUAUUGGAAGAAGUCGAAAUUAUCUACAUGUGCUUCUGGAAAAUCUGUCAUAAAAGCCAAAGAAAUGGGUCAAGUUUCAGUCAAUCACAGUUUCUCUCAAGUAAGCAGCUUUUUUAUUUAAAGAGAUUGAAAAGAAGUUAAAUGUGUGUUACAAUAAUAACUGCAUAUUUUUAGGUGGAUAUUUUAUAAGAAUUUGUAGAUGCUGUCAAUAAAAAAGAUUGUCGGGGAAGUAUUCUUCGCUACUUUCAAUAAGACAAGCAUUCAUAAGGUGUGUUCAAGCUUGAUUGGAAAGUUGGACUCUCCAGAAUCAUUUCUUGAAGCAUUAUCAAAGCAAAUGACCACUGAUAAUAUAAAUAUGGUAUUUUCCACCACCAAACAUCAAAGUGAUUCACCAAUGUGGUUUGAGUUGAGGUACGGCAGAAUUACUGGCUCAACUCUUUAUGAAGCCGCUCACUGUAGAACUAUAAAUGGUUCCCUUCUGAACGCAAUUAUGGGAGAACAUUCAAAAUUUACUUCCAUUGCGAUGAGUAGAGGGAAAAUAUUAGAAAAAAAGUUCUCAAAGUAGUAAGCAAGAAAGAAAAGGUAAGUUCGGUGGUUUUUGUUUGUUUGAAUA
rnacentral:misc_RNA from 1 species